AUUGAACGCUGGCGGAAUGCUUUACACAUGCAAGUCGCACGGCAGCACGGACUUCGGUCUGGUGGCGAGUGGCGAACGGGUGAGUAAUGUAUCGGAACGUGCCCAGUCGUGGGGGAUAACGUAGUGAAAAUUACGCUAAUACCGCAUACGAUCUAUGGAUGAAAGAGGGGGAUCGCAAGACCUCGCGCGAUUGGAGCGGUCGAUAUCAGAUUAGGUAGUUGGUGGGGUAAAGGCCCACCAAGCCAACGAUCCGUAGCUGGUCUGAGAGGACGACCAGCCACACUGGAACUGAGACACGGUCCAGACUCCAACGGGAGGCAUCAGUGGGGAAUUUUGGACAAUGGGCGAAAGCCUGAUCCAGCCAUUCCGCGUGCAGGAUGAAGGCCCUCGGGUUGUAAACUGCUUUUGUACAGAACGAAAAGGUUUCUACUAAUACUAGGAGCUCAUGACGGUACUGUAAGAAUAAGCACCGGCUAACUACGUGCCAGCAGCCGCCGUAA
rnacentral:rRNA from 1 species